rnacentral:SRP_RNA from 1 species
CCACGCAGCCGGGGAGUUAGCGGUGCCCUAUACCUGCAAUCCGCUUUAGCAGGGGUGAUAUUUGGUUUCGGAUACUUGUUUGUAGAGCUGCCUUUUAUAAGUGGCGUUGACGUCUGGGUCUUAUGCAAUAGGAAUCUACGAAUCGUGUCAGGUCAGGAAUGGAGCAGCACUAAGUAGAACCUCUUAUGUGACGUAAGGCAACCUGGACUGAGUUAACUGUAUUAGUAACGUCUGUGAGCAGUAUACAACACCAGAUGCGUGG